UCAUUAAAAUUCUCUUUCCCUCUUAGAAGAAUUGGUUAGAGCAUAGUCCCUCUAGCCUACUUUUAUAUGUUUUUGACUUGUAAUUCAAAUUUUCAGCUUGAAUAAUAAUUAUUAAUCAACUUUAUAUUUAUUUAUUACAAAGGGGACAUCCAGUGCUGCAACAAUUAUAGGAGUAUCAAAUUGAUAAGUCACACCAUGA
rnacentral:lncRNA from 1 species